rnacentral:rRNA from 1 species
GCGAACGGGUGAGUAACACGUGAGUAAUCUGCCUCUGGCUUCGGGAUAGCCACCGGAAACGGUGAUUAAUACCGGAUAUGACAUCUUCACGCAUGUGAUGGGUGUGGAAAGUUUUUUCGGCCAGGGAUGUGCUCGCGGCCUAUCAGCUUGUUGGUGGGGUAAUGGCCUACCAAGGCUUCGACGGGUAGCCGGCCUGAGAGGGUGACCGGCCACACUGGGACUGAGACACGGCCCAGACUCCUACGGGAGGCAGCAGUGGGGAAUAUUGGACAAUGGGCGGAAGCCUGAUCCAGCAACGCCGCGUGAGGGAUGACGGCCUUCGGGUUGUAAACCUCUUUCAGCACAGACGAAGCGCAAGUGACGGUAUGUGCAGAAGAAGGACCGGCCAACUACGUGCCAGCAGCCGCGGUAAUACGUAGGGUCCGAGCGUUGUCCGGAAUUAUUGGGCGUAAAGGGCUCGUAGGCGGUUUGUCGCGUCGGGAGUGAAAACACCGGGCUUAACUCGGUGCUUGCUUUCGAUACGGGCAGACUAGAGGCAUUCAGGGGAGAACGGAAUUCCUGGUGUAGCGGUGAAAUGCGCAGAUAUCAGGAGGAACACCGGUGGCGAAGGCGGUUCUCUGGGAAUGUCCUGACGCUGAGGAGCGAAAGUGU